AGGCGCGUGGAGAGGCCUGGGGGGAAAGGGGGACAUUUCCAUGGCAGCCCGAGAAACAAAAGCAACACAGGACAGGGGCCAACGCCAAGAACGAGGACGAAAACAAUUUUCUGUGCAUAGAAGGAACCACUCCGUAAAAUCAUCAGCUCGUGCUGAUUUCUGAUAUCCUUCAAAGACAAACGCAGGCCGGGUUUCGUUCUGCCCUGAAAUUCGUAAGCCAGCAUCAGCUGGGUUAUUUUCAAGCUGAACUCGAGGGGGUCGUUUCCGCUGUACCUCCUCUAGCCAUUAAAUACGCAGCCCAGACGGUUGGGUAAGGGAUUUUAGGACAUUUUUUUCCAUCUCCCCUGCGUGGUUUCCAAAGGUCUUUUCAGCCAAGGGUGAAAAAAGCCCCAAAAGUAAGAAAACUGGAAGAGCAUCACUCAGGUCGAGCACUCUUAAGUUUUCAGCUCCUCCAAGUGACCCUGUAAGCAAAAUGUGGCAAAUCCCAAGGGAGCUGCUGAGCUCUGCUCUCGUUUGAAGCCGUCUGUGCCGCUGGCUUUGGAGCUGGCCAUGUCGGAGCAGCUCUGGGUGCUCCUCGAGAUCCCCGGGGAUGCUCUCGGGAAGGAAAAUUGUCUGCUCCAUGGCCAGAGCUGGAAACACUGCCACAACUCGGAGCAUCCCCAGAAGAAACAUACUGGAAAAGGGCUUGUAAAUAACAACAGUUUUUGAUUGAGGAGCAGUUGCAGCAGAGAGCUUCCAAGUGUUUUCAAAGCAAAAACUAAUUACUAGGUUCCUCUGAAGAGAAAUGGGAAUAAUUCUCCUCCGCGUCCCGAUCCAAGCCCUGCCUGGUGCCCACCAGCACUAAGCUGAGGGUUUUCUGCCCAGGGGGGCUGUGAUGCUGAGGUUACGGAGCUGUUUUGGGAAGCCAGACACUGACGUGGUGAGAAAGUCGCAGAGACAGUGACAGAAAUGCCUCUGAGGAUGCCCAAACCUCCCCGCUCCCCACGCUCGCUAAAAUUACAGAAGCAUCCACGGCAGCAGGACCACUGAUGACACCACACGCACACCCCUCCACCCACCAUGGAAAGAAAACAGCGGAUUUUUUUUUUAAGGCCCUUUUUAACUCCACUUAUUGCACAAUUCGGAGCUCUGAGCUCCUCCGAACAGCAGGCGCAGACACCCAGGCAUGCAGCAGAAGCCGCGCCACCUCCCCAAGCCCCAUCUCCUGCCACCCUGAGCCCCAAAUUCCAGCUUGGCUCCAUCCUGCCCACCACAAAUCAGCCGUGUCCAGGAGAUGGACGCUCAGCACCUCCCAGCAGGGCCCUGCCCCUGGCACAAACCCUGCUCCUCCAGCAGUGCUGGGGACUUGGGGCUGCAGCUCUCGCACGGGACCACAAAGCCAGCUGAGACUGCACCAGCUUCACCAUGUUUUUCUGCAUUUUCUAACCAGAAAGUGAGUGGAGAUGCUUCCCUGAGAGGAGAAUCCAAGCCACACCACCUCAACCACCACCGCCAGCUGUAUUUUAAGAGCCUGGGACCACGCUGCAGCCUGAGCCACCUCCUCCAGUGUGUGCACAGGCGCAGCCUCCACCUGCUCUCCUCUCUAUCGCUGCGACGCCUGCAAACAAACGGAGGGGAUCUGGAGGGGGCAGGCGACGUGAGAAGAGGAAAAAAAAAACCCAAGGCCACCCUGAUCUGGCCGGCUUGAGGCCGCCGUGCAGCCCUGAGCGGCAUCUUUGCGACGCCGGGCGCUGCAGACAGAUGGCUGUCGGCUGGAUGCCAACCCAACGGCGAGUGUCAAGGACUGCGAGAGCUGCAGGAGCUAUCACCAACCUGGAAAACAAGCUGCCACGGAGGAGUGCUGGGCUGGGGAGGCUCCCUGGGGGCGAUGAGCAGGAGCCUGUCAAGUGUUUUUCUCCAAGGGGGCUGGGAACGAGACGCUUUGCUCCUCUCCGGCCGCCUGGGUGCGGAGUCCGGCCCUGCACAGCCCCCAGAUCCCAGCCUGGGAGCUCUGGGAGAACCAAAACCUUGGAUUUUCCCCCCAAACCUUCCCUGAUACCCACACUGGCUGCAAGCCCCACAUCCCAACCUGUCCUCAGUCCCCAAAAGGGCUCUGGCUGUCACCUCCCUGCAGGCUUACCAAUUCUCCCCAAGCCACCUUGAUAUAUAUAUUUAUUUUCCAAUGCUCUUACAUAUACAGGAACCAGGCAGGGGCUCCAGGCUCUGUUCUCACUGCCCUAAGCCCAGGACCCUUUUCCAGCCAGACCUCACCCCCAGCCCUGCUGCCUGGCCGAGCCCCGGGGCUGCAGCAUCGCGGCUGCGCCCGCCUGCGUUCACCCGGAGUCCUCUCACGGUGGCUUUGCAGAAAUUCAGCAGAAAUUUACAGACCUUGGGUUUUGCAAGGAAACAAUCCCGGCUGUGUGCAAGCCACGCUGCAGGGCUAAAUCUCUAUGGGAAGGUCCCAGGGGUGUUACCUGGUGGAGAGCAGUGAAAUGCUCUGGGAUAGAGGUGGGGUGCUGGGGACGGCUCCUGCCCUCCGGCACCCGCUCGCUCCCGCACGUCUGCACGGCCGCAGCCGGGCCGAACGUGCAGAGGGCUGCGUGCAUGCGUGUGCACCCACACACGCCAGAUUUUCCGAUAGCUGCUUCAUGUAUUUAUGUGUAAACAUCUUCUGGGGCUAUUCCAGCCCUUCCCUGCAGCGAGCGGCUUGCUCCACCACCGAUUGCUCGUGGCCACCGUCCACGGGCUCUUACUCCUGCUUCAAGCAAAGACUAAACAAUGACUUCAGCAUCUCCGGAUCCAAGCCCCGUAGCCGGUCCCUCAUCCUCACCAGCCAAGCAGGGAGGAUGCCACGCUGGCCAUUUCUGCCUCCUGGGAGGAACAGUGCCACCACGACGGCCGUGACCACUGAGCCUCCCAUUCUGCAAGGGAUAAACGGGAGGGAUGAGGGAAAGCAGCGUUUUUGUAACCCCCAGGAUGUUUGCAGACCCCCAUGGGACAGCAGCGUGGGGUCUCCACAAGUCCCCAAAAGCAUCUCCUGAGGAUCUCUGAGAGGACAAAGCUCCUCGCCGCGUGUGUGCACAGGGCGAGUGGAGGUGACUCACGCUCCUCACCCUCCCUGGCCACGGAGCGUUUGUUUUCAUUUCUGAAAACCACAGUUUCUUUAAAAAAAAAAAAAAGGAAAAUACCAAAAUACGCACAGCUCAGUGGGAUGCAUCGCGUCCUGCCGCACUGACACGAAUCCCAGCCACCCCCAUCCCCCUGCUCCCCGCUGGGUGUUCGAAGGGAAGGGGCUGGAGGUGUUACAGCAGGGACGGGGCUCCAGGGCUCCCAUUUCCAGUAACAUUCAGCACAACCCAGCCAACAGCACCGGGUGUACGAGUGGGUGAUGGCAAAAAAGGGCCCAGUUGGGGUUAGAAACCCUCCCACCCUCCUUGAACAAGCCGUCCUCGUUCUUGGGGGCAGCUGAAAUUUAAGGCUAAAAAUGAUCUUUUCCAGGGUGGGUUUGUGCCAGGCUCCUGGCUGCAGCUCCUCCGGGGCCAUCCCCGAGAUGCUUCGUGCGUCGAGGGGCAGGAGGGAGGCAGAGCAGGUCGGGCUCUUUGUAAAGCAAAGGCAGGGAGAUUACCGGAGCACGUGAGCGCUUCGUUACGGCUAACGAGCUCAAGACCGCGCGCCCCAACUCA